UUGAACGCUGGCGGCAUGCCUUACACAUGCAAGUCGAACGGCAGCACGGGAGCAAUCCUGGUGGCGAGUGGCGAACGGGUGAGUAAUAUAUCGGAACGUGCCCAGUCGUGGGGGAUAACGCAGCGAAAGCUGUGCUAAUACCGCAUACGAUCUCUGGAUGAAAGCGGGGGACCUUCGGGCCUCGCGCGAUUGGAGCGGCCGAUAUCAGAUUAGCUAGUUGGCGGGGUAAAGGCCCACCAAGGCGACGAUCUGUAGCUGGUCUGAGAGGACGACCAGCCACACUGGAACUGAGACACGGUCCAGACUCCUACGGGAGGCAGCAGUGGGGAAUUUUGGACAAUGGGCGCAAGCCUGAUCCAGCAAUGCCGCGUGCAGGAUGAAGGCCUUCGGGUUGUAAACUGCUUUUGUACGGAACGAAACGGUUGUCUCUAAUAAAGACGGCUAAUGACGGUACCGUAAGAAUAAGCACCGGCUAACUACGU
rnacentral:rRNA from 1 species